rnacentral:lncRNA from 1 species
CUUAAAUGGGUUGGAAGGGAACAUAAUGCUACAGUGUGGGAGUGCUUAUUCCUUGCAAGACACUGUGGCAGGAAGGAUGGAAACUAAUCUGUAUUGAGGACUUUGCUUGUACCAACCAGGUUAUGAGGUUAUUUUCAUAUAUAUAAUCUCGAUUAUUCUUCACCGUAAUGCUAUGAAAUAUGCAAUUUUCUGAGUCUGUCGCGAUUCCCACAAAUUGACAGAUAAGUCAUGCAGAUGCAAAGUGAAAGCGUAAGGUCACUCAUUUUUAAGUGGCAAAGAAGCUAGAACUGUAGGACUUUUUGCCUUCAACACUUUUCACUAUGCUGUGUUGCCUGGAGGUACAUGCUGUUAGCAUUCCCGAUGAAGUAACUAAUGUGGAAUAGAAAGAGACUUAAACUGUAUAAAAUAUACUUGCAUUUUCUGUAACCAUUUACGGAAAACAGGAAGUUUCUCAUUUCUAGAGAGUGAAACCUGGAAGAGGCAGUCCUUUCAGAUAGUCUGAGAUAUAUGGCCAAAAAAAUAUCUGCGGCAGUGACAUAGCAGGCUACCUGGAACAAUGCAGUGGCAGUUUGACGUGACCUUUCUCAGUAUAGCUAGCUGGGGUGAAUCAUAUGCUAGUGUUCUCAUCUGGUUGAAUUUUUUACAUCCGG